CCUACGGGAGGCAGCAGUGAGGAAUAUUGGUCAAUGGACGAGAGUCUGAACCAGCCACGUCGCGUGAAGGAAGACGGCCCUACGGGUUGUAAACUUCUUUUGUAAGGGAAUAAAGUGAGUCACGUGUGACUUUUUGCAUGUACCUUACGAAUAAGGAUCGGCUAACUCCGUGCCAGCAGCCGCGGUAAUACGGAGGAUCCGAGCGUUAUCCGGAUUUAUUGGGUUUAAAGGGUGCGCAGGCGGGAGAUUAAGUCGGCGGUGAAAUUUUGCAGCUUAACUGUAAAAGUGCCUUCGAAACUGGUUUUCUUGAGUGUGGAUGAAGUAGGCGGAAUUUGUGGUGUAGCGGUGAAAUGCAUAGAUAUCACGAGGAACUCCGAUUGCGCAGGCAGCUUACUAAGCCAUAACUGACGCUCAGGCACGAAGGCGUGGGGAUCAAACAGGA
rnacentral:rRNA from 1 species